rnacentral:rRNA from 1 species
UACGGGGGGGCAAGCGUUGUUCGGAAUUACUGGGCGUAAAGGGCUCGUAGGCGGCCACUAAGUCCGACGUGAAAUCCCCAGGCUUAACCUGGGAACUGCGUCGGAUACUGGAUGGCUUGAAUUCGGGAGAGGGAUGCAGAAUUCCAGGUGUAGCGGUGAAAUGCGUAGAUAUCAUUGGAACGCCAUGGUGAAAACAGCUCGCUGGGGGUUGCUGACGCUGAGACGACGAAAGCCAGGGGAGCAAACGGG